rnacentral:piRNA from 1 species
CAUGACCUAGAGAUGCUUCAAAGUCAU